rnacentral:rRNA from 1 species
UACAGAGGGUGCGAGCGUUAAUCGGAAUUACUGGGCGUAAAGCGCACGUAGGUGGCGACGUAAGUCGGGUGUGAAAGCCCCGGGCUCAACCUGGGAAUUGCAUUCGAGGCUGCAUUGCUGGAGUACGGAAGAGGAAGGCGGAAUUCCCGGUGUAGCGGUGGAAUGCGUAGAGAUCGGGAAGAACAUCAGUGGCGAAGGCGGCCUGCUGGGCUGUUGCUGACGCUGAGGCGCGACAGCGUGGGGGGAGCAAACCGG